GUGAAUCAUCGAAUCUUUGAACGCAAAUUGCACUCUCCUCGAAUAGUAUGCCUGUUUGAGUUUCAGCCUAUUUAAAAUCGACAUCGUUGCUGUUUCGCGGUGACGUUCGUUGAAAAUUGGGUCAUCAUAAAUCUUGUUGAUAUAAGCGACUUAAAAUUUUUUUUUGGUUCCAUGAACGUUUCUAAUAUCUAUUUCUUUACACGUUUAAGGUAUCGAUUUUUACUGGACGUGACCAUCAUAUCUGUUCGCUUCCAUAAUCUUUC
rnacentral:misc_RNA from 1 species